rnacentral:misc_RNA from 1 species
AACAUCGCGCACCUGCGGGAACCUGCGGAGGGAUCAUUAAUGAUUGGUGGCUGUUGCUGACUAGUGUUUCUAGUAUGUGCACGCCACACCUUCAAUCCCACUUACACCUGUGCACCUUCUGUAAUAGAUCUAUGUGGAUACGGAGAUAUGAAAGUUUGCGCUCUCGUACUCUGUUGAAGCAGUCUACCACGUUUUUUUACACACACACAAUAGUCAUUGAAUGUAUUUUUUAUUCUUAUG